rnacentral:rRNA from 1 species
UACAGAGGUGGCAAGCGUUGUUCGGAAUUACUGGGCGUAAAGGGCGCGUAGGCGGCCUUCUAAGUCAGACGUGAAAUCCCCCGGCUUAACCUGGGAACUGCGUCUGAUACUGGGAGGCUUGAGUAUGGGAGAGGGAUGUAGAAUUCCAGGUGUAGCGGUGAAAUGCGUAGAUAUCUGGAGGAAUACCGAUGGCGAAGGCAAUCCCCUGGACCUGUACUGACGCUCAUGCACGAAAGCGUGGGGAGCGAACAGG